CUGGCUUACCUCCUCAUGUAUGUCUCUAGGGGUCAUAUCCYUGAGUGCAUUGUGGGUUUCUUGUGUUGAUUUCCUGUAUCAUGGCAUUGUUUUGGUAGAUUAAAGUCCCUUUUCAUGUUGCGUUGCUUUUGUGAUUCAAGAUGAACCAUGAAGCGGUCUCUAUGUUCCACUACGUUGAUGGUAAUGCACUGAUGUUGUGGCCCAUUGAGAUCGCUUGGUAUCUUGGAUAUGGAAAAUUAUGUGGGCAUGGGGUCUUUGUUGGCUCUCUGUUUGCCCUUAUUCAGUGUUCUUCGAAACGACAGUUCAUGCGCGCCUAGGCUCGUACCUGCGUGAUGAUCUUGUUAAAGAGGAAUGCUACCUGGUUGAUCCUGCCAGUAGUCAUAUGCUUGUCUCAAAGAUUAAGCCAUG
rnacentral:misc_RNA from 1 species